rnacentral:rRNA from 1 species
GAUGAACGCUGGCGGCGUGCCUAAUACAUGCAAGUCGAGCGAACAGACGAGGAGCUUGCUCCUCUGACGUUAGCGGCGGACGGGUGAGUAACACGUGGAUAACCUACCUAUAAGACUGGGAUAACUUCGGGAAACCGGAGCUAAUACCGGAUAAUAUAUUGAACCGCAUGGUUCAAUAGUGAAAGACGGUUUUGCUGUCACUUAUAGGUGGAUCCGCGCCGCAUUAGCUAGUUGGUAAGGUAACGGCUUACCAAGGCAACGAUGCGUAGCCGACCUGAGAGGGUGAUCGGCCACACUGGGACUGAGACACGGUCCAGACUCCUACGGGAGGCAGCAGUAGGGAAUCUUCCGCAAUGGGCGAAAGCCUGACGGAGCAACGCCGCGUGAGUGAUGAAGGUCUUCGGAUCGUAAAACUCUGUUAUUAGGGAAGAACAAAUGUGUAAGUAACUAUGCACGUCUUGACGGUACCUAAUCAGAAAGCCACGGCUAACUACGUG